rnacentral:misc_RNA from 1 species
GUAUUCGAGUUUUUUUUUGAUUACUCUGAAUGUUAGACUUGCAAUUGAAGACGUGUGAGAGAAAAUGAAGCCCAAUCCUCUCCCCCGCUUUUUUCCCUCUCCCCCCAAAGGAGAGAGAGAAAGAGAGAGAGAGUUGAAAAGGACCUCUUACAUUGCACACAAGGUGGGUAUGGAUUUGAAAGUGCCAUAAACACUUAUUGUGAAUGAUCCUUCCGCAGGUUCACCUACGGAAA